rnacentral:rRNA from 1 species
AAAGUCGGCAACACCUGAAGCCGUCGGGCUAACCGUUUGGAGGCAGACGUCGAGGGUGGGGUCGGUGAUUGGGGUGAAGUCGUAACAAGGUAGCCGUACCGGAAGGUGCGGCUGGAUCACCUCCUUU